rnacentral:rRNA from 1 species
CCCUCCCUUGUUAGUCCCGCCUAUAUACCGCCGUCGUCAGCCUACCCUGUGAAGGCCCAGAAGUGAGCAAGAUUGGUAAAGCCCAAAACGUCAGGUCGAGGUGUAGUGUAUGAGAGGGGAAGAAAUGGGCUACAUUUCCUAACUUAGGAAAUACGAACAAUGAAUUGAAAUAAGCAUUAGAAGGUGGAUUUAGCAGUAAGCAGGAAAACAGAGUGUUCCGCUGAAGAAUGGCCAUAAAGCACGCACACACCGCCCGUCACUCUCCCCAAGUCAACCCCACAGUAAUUUAGUACCUAAAAAAUUACAUCUGCAAAGGGGAGGCAAGUCGUAACAUGGUAAGCGUACCGGAAGGUGCGCUUGGAAUAAUU